rnacentral:lncRNA from 1 species
AUUGUGCUUUUAACACUUGAUAGGAAAGGAUACAUUUCUUUCUGCCUCCUGGCAAAUCACUGAAUCUAGGGCAGUAUCUGUCAGGCUGAACUUUUCCAGUACACACUCACCUUUCCUUUGUGGUUUGUUUUUUCUUGAUAAUGAUUCCAUUCCUAAGUUUUCUUCUUAUGUUUAUGUCUCUCCUGGAUGUUAUGCAGCCAUCCAAUGCCGAGUACGAAACUCCACUGAAUCACAGUAAGAAUAGUGUUGAGCCACAUCUUCAUUGCAUCCAUCAGUAGAUUGAUGCCCAGACAGAUUUCAUAUGGAGUAGAACUGGCCGUGAGGUUUUCUGAGAUGACUGAUGGAUUCGGCCUCUCACUCAUGGAAGGUUUUAUAACCCCAGCUUACCUCCAGAGAAGGCCUCAUGUGUCAGUCAAAGGCUAAAGAAGAUAUUCGGUUCUCAAUUUUAGUGUCCCAUAAAGAAGAUUGGGCAAACACAGAGGAAAAGGUCCUGUGUUUACUUUUAAAGAAAUGUUAAAGUUAUUAUAGUUAUUGGAUUACAUACAUGGAUUGAGCUGUGGAUUAGGAAUAACAGGACCUCAUGAUAUAAUGUGGUUUAUUUUAAAAUGUAAACACACACUCAUAUUUCAUGGAGCAAUAGAGGAAAAUUUCUUCGGAAAGAGCAAAUAUGCUGAGGAAAACCAGACUCAUGAAUUCCUGCACAUUCCUAGCUUUAUGACCCCAUGGUUUUAUUUGGUUAAUGUUCACUUUCCACACUUGGCUACCGAAAUAGCUUUCCAUUCCAAGGUUGUUACUGCAAAGUAAAAAGCUCAAGUUUCCCUCUCACACUUCACAGGAUAUUAAUCGCUCAGAGCUCUUGCCCUCCCUUUCGCAAUGUUCCUGAUUUUCAUACUUCCGAUUGAGAAACUACCACAUACACACUGAGGAUAUCCUGCUUGGUCAGCAGGCUGGCUAUUCUAAGUGCCAACUCUCAGGGGAGAUGUCUUCAGUAUUUCUCCAGAGUGUUGCUUUGGGGGGCACUCCUGUGCCGUAGUAGUUCUGACACUUAUCAGAUCCAGAUCAUUCUACUAACAAUGGUCUUGAGCCAACAUUUGUCAUUCAAAGGUUGCUCUCUUAUGGAAUUGCCAUAGCUAGGCAAUCAUUUCUUAUUUAGAAACAUUGGACACUUUUAGGUGUGCUUUCAUGGUGAUUAUACGGUUUUACAUUAAGUUAUGCAGCAAAAUAUCUUUUAGGAGCCCCAGAUACUCAAUGAGGCACCAUCACAUUGAACAGAAAUAAUUGCAAGUAGGAAGGUGAUUUGAGGAAGUGACAAUCCCCCAGUGGAAUCUGGUUUUGAACUGUGACGUCUUAUAGCAUUUCAUGAUUGUUUUGUUAGUGCCAGGAAAUCUGAUCUGGGAGAAACAUUGGCACUUUUUCUAAGGCUCACAUCAUUAAAGUUUAUUUCUUUAUUUGAGGGAGAGAGCUUGCUCCAAAUUGGAGAAAACCGAGAGAACAGUUAGUAGGACUUAAAUUCUAACUCUGUUGAUGUCUCAGUUAUUUAUUACUGUGUAACAAACUACCCUAAAAUUUAGUGGCUUAAAACAAAAACCAUGUAAUUGUUCAUGAUUCUGUGGGUCAGGAAUUCAGACAGGGCUCAGUGGGGAUGGUUCACCUCUGCUCCACAUCAUGUUGCCUGGGGCUGGAAGAUCCAAGAUGACCUCACUCACGGGCUUAGGCAUUGGUGCUGGCUGAUGGCGGGGGGAGCUCACUUCUCUUCCAAGGACCUCUCUCUUUUCUCUCUCUCUCUAUCUUUCCCCCCAAUCCUCCACCCCACCCUUCACUCUUGCUCUCACUCUAUCUCUGUGGUCUCUCAUCAUUCAGUAGUCAUAUUUACAUUGAGGUAGCUGGCUCACCAAAGGAACUGGAAAUGCUCUCAAGGAUCAGAAAUCAGUGUCACUUCUCCCACAUUCUACUGACCUGACCAAAGUAAAUCUCAGGAUCCACCUAGAAUCAUGCAGAGAAGAAAGACUCCACUUCUUGGCUGAAAGAGCUGCGUGGUACACAGGGUUUGUUGGUGGCCAUUUUUUGCAGAAAAGCUACUACAGUGGCUGACUCCUAGCAAGGUGUUUCUAAGUUCCUUCACUGGACAAAUUAAUAUUAGUCAAUUGCCUUAAAGAAAUAGAGUUAUCUUAUUUGGUGGACUCCCAAAUGCCAUCCACACUGUGUGUAAGAUGCACAUAGUUUUAUGCACUGUUUUAAAAGAAAGCCACCAAAUAAAAUGGGACAUGAUAUCAAUUGUUAAGAUCAAUUUCAGAGAUACUAAAUGAUGGAGGAAAUAUGCAUGUUAGAAUUAAUAAAAAUGGUAAUUAUUCACUAUAUAACUCAACAGAAUUUAAAAAUGAAUGGAUAAAAAUCUGAGGUGUAAAAAUAAGUCACUCUUUUGAUCACUGAGUCUAUUAAUUGAAUAUCAACUUACAUAGGUCUUAUCCUGACUAAGGUGCUGAUGAUCUGGCCUACUGUCUAGUAGAACAGGGCCUUAAGGAACCAUUAUUUCUCCCCCAUCCCCUCAUCAAACCAUGAGGAAAAGCCUGAUGAGGGAAGCAAGCAAUGAAUCAGUAAAAUGAACAUUUUAAAGAAUAAGAGGUCCUGUGAGUGUCUGGGGGGAAAUAAAGAAGGUGAUGAGGGAUAAUAACAAACCACCUCCUUUAGACAGGGGUGGUUACCGAAGGGCAUGUGAAGAAAGGAUGUUGAAGCAGAGACCCAGGGAUUAAAAAGAAUCAGCCAUGCAAAAAGCAGAGGAAGGUACUUGUAUUAGUCCGUUUUCAUGCUGCUGAUAAAGACAUACCUGAGACUGGGUGACACACAAAAGCAGACAGCCCUGAUAAUACCAUCAGAUCUCAUGAGAUUUAUUCACUACCACAAGAACAGUAUGGAGGAAACCGCCCUCAUUGUUCAAUUAUCCCCCACUGGGUCCCUUCCACAACAUGUGGGAAUUAUGAGAGUACAAUUCCAGAUGAGAUUUGGGUGGGGACAUAUAGCCAAACCAUAUCAGUGUUCUAGACCAGGCAGAGGACACAGUAAGUACAAAGUUGCUGAGAUGGGAAAGAGCUUGGCACAUUCUUAGAAGUGAAAGUAGAUUGGUUUCAUUGGAGCGCAAUGAGCAAAUUCCUCCAUUAAACAUCUGUUUAAAUAUCUGCGAAGCAAAACAACCACAACAAAAACCAACUAGAUCCAGAAUUUUCCAAGUCUAUCAACAUCUUUGGGAGGAAAAAAAUGGGCCCUAUAGUGGGUUUUCUAAACCCUCUUACUAGCCAGAUGUUGAGAAUGUUUCUUGGGUUUAUAGGAGCUUAUUGAUUAAGUCACUGUUUCUUAAACAUGAGUAAUGAAGUAACCCUUUAAAUGGAAAAAUAUUAUAAAUCAUUAGUGUGGACAAAUCAUUUUAAUUAUGUUUCUUUAAGAUAAAUGAAGUAUAAAUGCUGUAUAUGCAUAGCUGUUAUGCAAAUCUAAGAGUAAAUCUAAUGUAGGAAUUAAAUACAAACUAAACUACAAAACUAACAAAAUGAAAAUUAUCAAUAUUAAUUCAGAGUAAUGGUUGAUGUUAUUUGCUGCCACUAACUUGUUGAUGUUUGGUUUAAUAGUAGAAAAUAAACUGAUGUAUUUAGUUU